GUGAGGAAUUUUCCGCAAUGGGCGAAAGCCUGACGGAGCAAUGCCGCGUGAAGGAUGAAGGCCUAUGGGUUGUAAACUUCUUUUCUCAGAAAAGAAUUAUGACGGUAUCUGAGGAAUAAGCAUCGGCUAACUCUGUGCCAGCAGCCGCGGUAAGACAGAGGAUGCAAGCGUUAUCCGGAAUGAUUGGGCGUAAAGCGUCUGUAGGUUGUUUAAAAAGUAUUCUGUCAAAGAUUAGGGCUUAACCCUAGAUAGGCAGAAUAAACUUUUAAGCUAGAGUUUGGUAGAGGGAUAAGGAAUUCCCGGUGGAGCGGUGAAAUGCGUAGAUAUCGGGAGGAACACCAAAGGCGAAGGCACUCUGCUGGGCCAAUACUAACACUGAGAGACGAAAGCGAGGGGAGCAAAUGGGAUUAGAAACCCGGGUAGUCC
rnacentral:rRNA from 1 species